UCGGGGUAGCUCAGUCAGUAGAGCAUGAGACUCUUACUCUCAGGAUUGUGGGUUCCAAUUCUAUGAUGGGGAAGAG